rnacentral:misc_RNA from 1 species
AGCAGUAGCCAGCACCACCCUGCAA